rnacentral:rRNA from 1 species
GACGGAGGAUCCGAGCGCUAUCCGGAUUUAUUGGGUUUAAGGGGUGCGUAGGCGGGUAAUUAAGUCAGUGGUGAAAGUUUGCGGCUCAACCGUAAAAUUGCCAUUGAAACUGAUUAUCUUGAGUGCAAAUGAGGUAGGCGGAAUGUGUUGUGUAGCGGUGAAAUGCUUAGAUAUAACACAGAACUCCGAUUGCGAAGGCAGCUUACUGGGAUGCAACUGACGCUGAGGCACGAAAGCGUGGGGAUCAAACAGG